rnacentral:rRNA from 1 species
AUUGAACGCUGGCGGCAUGCCUUACACAUGCAAGUCGAACGGUAACAGGUCUUCGGAUGCUGACGAGUGGCGAACGGGUGAGUAAUACAUCGGAACGUGCCUAGUAGUGGGGGAUAACUACUCGAAAGAGUGGCUAAUACCGCAUGAGAUCUACGGAUGAAAGCAGGGGAUCGCAAGACCUUGUGCUACUAGAGCGGCCGAUAUCAGAUUAGGUAGUUGGUGGGGUAAAGGCCCACCAAGCCAACGAUCUGUAGCUGGUCUGAGAGGACGACCAGCCACACUGGAACUGAGACACGGUCCAGACUCCUACGGGAGGCAGCAGUGGGGAAUUUUGGACAAUGGGCGAAAGCCUGAUCCAGCCAUUCCGCGUGCAGGAUGAAGGCCCUCGGGUUGUAAACUGCUUUUGUACAGAACGAAAAGGUCUCUACUAAUACUAGGAGCUCAUGACGGUACUGUAAGAAUAAGCACCGGCUAACUACGUGCCAGCCGCCGCCGUAACAC